rnacentral:rRNA from 1 species
UACGAAGGGGGCUAACGUUGUUCGGAAUUACUGGGCGUAAAGCGCGCGCAGGCGGUCUUCCAAGUCAGUGGUGAAAGCCCGGAGCUCAACUCCGGAACUGCCAUUGAAACUGUUAGACUUGAGGAUGAGAGAGGUGAGUGGAAUUCCCAGUGUAGAGGUGAAAUUCGUAGAUAUUGGGAAGAACACCGGUGGCGAAGGCGGCUCACUGGCUCAUUACUGACGCUCAGGCGCGAUAGCGUGGGGAUCAAACAGG